rnacentral:lncRNA from 1 species
CCUUUGAGAUCAAGAGUUUAUAACAAGAAAAGGGCUUAUAGAGUAUGUUAAAAGAAAUCUGAGGACCAUGGGAUAAUCCAGCAUCUAGAGGUGGGGAGAGGGGUCUCACGUUGAGGUAGCGGCCCAGGUUGCCUUCAAGCUUGGCAUCAAUGAUGUAGCAAGACUCCUCGCCAUCAUAGAAUUGGCGUGUGUUCUUACGAACAGGUGCGCUCUCCCCCUUGUCCACAGAGGCCAUGUUGGUUGAUUUAAUUGCAAUCCCAUGGGUUGAUUUAAGAGCAAAGCCUCGGGUUGAUUUUACUGCCACUUGACGCUUCAUUGGACCUGGACAGGAGGGAGAAUGGGGUCAGGACCCAUCCCAACUCAUGAACGGACAUUCUAUCAUGAAUGGACAUUCUACCCCUAUUUCUCUCCCAACAUUGCAGCUGAGAAACACCAAUAAGCUGGAACUCAAAGAUCCUAAGUAGCAGGUUUUUUUUUCAAGCAUAAUUAGAUCUGCUAGACAAAGGAGCUGAGGGGAAAGAGUAAAAAAAUGGAAAUGAGAGAGGAUGUGUCAAACAAUAGUUUAGCUUGGAGUCAGCCCUCCCAGAGAUGCUCCAAUUCUUAGGAUCUGAAUUUUUACCCGCUACUUCUUUAGCUUCCUUAAAAAAUGCUCUAUCCCAAGUUUCUUACUAUUUCUUCCCACCAUUCCCAAAAUUUUUCCAGGCUACCAGUCAUGUUCUUCUUGUCCUCAAAGUCAUCCCCUUCAGAGCCAGAGGAUAUGGUCUGGAUAUCAUCACUGUCAACCGCUGUAGCCGAAGUCUGACCAGCAGUGGGCUUUCGGCUGGUCCCACUUUCCCCCUCACUUUCUGUGCUGCUGGACAGUGUCAGGACAUCCUGGGGAAGCAGGAGGCAUAGCUCCGCCACACUGAACUGGUGCUGAAGUCCUCAUCCUUACAGAAGUUAUCAUCUGAGCUAUCAUCAUUGGACUCUUCAGGGUCCUCUGUACCGCUGUUGCCAUCUUCCUGGUCCUUCAAGUCUACACCACUGCUGUCAGAGGAACAGGGGGCAUCACUCUCAUAUCCUUCUUUGAAGUUCUCCACGCUCUCGAUAUGGUCCAGAUUUGCAAAGUACUCAUCACCCAUUUCCAGACCCUCCUUGUCUGCAAAG